AGUUAAAAUUUUCAUCCACUUCUACUGUUAAAAACUGGUGUGACUGAUGGAAUAACAAGACAGUUACACAUGGCACGUAACGUGUACCUCAUGUUGAUGUACAAAGGCCAGUUUUUAACAGUAGAAAUGGAUGAAAAUUUUAAUA
rfam:Gossypium hirsutum cultivar TM-1 chromosome 9, whole genome shotgun sequence